rnacentral:rRNA from 1 species
GUAGAUUUCACGAAAUUAUGUGAGCUAAUUAUUAUUAUUUAUUAUGUAGCAUAAUAAUAUUGCAAAUGAUAAUUAGGGGUGAUAGGCCUCUCAAACGUACGAUAUCUUGAUUCUUAUGAUACGUAAUAGUACCAAGACAGUUUAAGAGUUACAAGGCUCUUAAAAAUAAUAAAUUAUCAUUAAUAUAAUAAGUUGGUUUAAUAGCCCACGUUUUAAAUAUAAUAAUAUAAAUUACAGGUAAUUAUUUAGACUAAUAAGACGCAAUAAAUUUUUAAAUAUGAUGAUAAUGUUUCCAUUAGUAUUUAGAAGUUAUUAAUAGUGAAUUCGGCAUUUUGCUUUCAACUGUUUACCAAAAACAUAGCCAUGUGUAAAUACACAUGGUGCUUUCUGCUCAAUGAUAAUUAAAUAGCCGCAGUACCCUGACUGUGCAAAGGUAGCGUAAUCAUUUGUCUCUUAAUUGGAGUCGUGUAUGAAAGAAUUAAUGGGGGCAAUCUUUACCAUUAAUAAAUUCAAAACUUACUUAGUGGGUGCAAAUGCCCACAAAGAAAAAAUAGACGAGAAGACCCUAGAAAUUUAUAAAAACAUUUUGUUGGGGCAACAUAGUAGCAUAUAACCUACUUUAUGUAUAUGACACAUUAUAGAUAAGUUAAAUUACUCUAGGGAUAACAGCAUAAUUUAUAAAUGUUUGUGACCUCGAUGUUGGAUUAGGGAGUUGUUGUCUAGA